GCUUAACACAUGCAAGUCGAACGGACCGUAUACGCAGCUUGCUGCGUGUAUGGUUAGUGGCAGACGGGUGAGUAAUGCAUAGGAAUCUACCUAGUAGUAUGGGAUAGCCACUAGAAAUGGUGGGUAAUACUGUAUAAUCCCUGCGGGGGAAAGAUUUAUCGCUAUUAGAUGAGCCUAUGUCAGAUUAGCUAGUUGGUGGGGUAAUGGCCUACCAAGGCGGUGAUCUGUAGCUGGUCUGAGAGGAUGAUCAGCCACACUGGAACUGAGACACGGUCCAGACUCCUACGGGAGG
rnacentral:rRNA from 1 species